rnacentral:lncRNA from 1 species
GUGGGGAAAAUUUGCGGUGGUGGCUAGAAAUUGAUGGAAACAGUGGGAGAAACACACAAACCAGACUGUAAAAAGAGCUAACCAGUAACAAGACCUCGACUAGAACACAAACUCAACACUACGGACUCUGAAACUGAAAUAUGCAAAGGCUAUGGCGCGGAUGGGUUGUUGGACAUGAAAACAAUAUGGCACUAGACUUAUGGAACGAACACAAUGACACUUGAAACUAAGUGUAGAUGUGAACCUAACGGUAUGUCUGAAGCUUUGAUUACCGCUUGAGGACAACAAGUGUGGCCCGAUCUUCCGAAAGUUUCUGGUAACUAUCGAUUUGGUGGAAACGAGAGACAUAUCAAUCCACCUUGCGAACAACACAAUUCGAAACCCUGCAAUUCUUUUUAUUUUUUUUGAUAUUUUUGUUUUACUAAGGAGCACUCAAGAAGUAACCACAGGAAAUUUGAGCUUAAACAAGUGAAAGACGUGGCCUGUGGAAUUUUUUUAAGAUUGUG